UACGGAGGAUGCGAGCGUUAUCCGGAUUUAUUGGGUUUAAAGGGUGCGUAGGCGGGAUGCCAAGUCAGCGGUCAAAUACGGGGGCUCAACCCCGGCGAGCCGUUGAAACUGUCGGACUAGAGACGGCGAGAAGUACGCGGAAUGCGCGGUGUAGCGGUGAAAUGCAUAGAUAUCGCGCAGAACUCCGAUUGCGAAGGCAGCGUACCGGCGCCGGACUGACGCUGAGGCACGAAAGCGUGGGUAUCGAACAGG
rnacentral:rRNA from 1 species